rnacentral:rRNA from 1 species
UACGAAGGGGCUAGCGUUGCUCGGAAUCACUGGGCGUAAAGCGCACGUAGGCGGAUUGUUAAGUCAGGGGUGAAAUCCUGGAGCUCAACUCCAGAACUGCCUUUGAUACUGGCGAUCUUGAGUCCGGGAGAGGUGAGUGGAACUGCGAGUGUAGAGGUGAAAUUCGUAGAUAUUCGCAAGAACACCAGUGGCGAAGGCGGCUCACUGGCCCGGUACUGACGCUGAGGAGCGAAAGCGUGGGGAGCGAACGAGGA